CCACAGACAGCAUCGCGAGCGUUUGCUGACCACAUUGGUAGGAGGCACAGUGAGGGAGAUCACGGCAUGAGUGCCACCGUGGCAAAAUUUAAUGGUCAUGGUGGCCGCCGGUGAAGACUCCGGCUGGGCUCAGGAGAUGGCGCCACAUACGAGUAAUCCCUCCCCGGAGUUAUCCAUUCCACGCCGAACACAAAUCGGGACACGCGCGGUACAAAUCACAGUGGAGAGGUCGUCGGCGGUGAGAUUUUUGGCGCCGGCGGUCUGAUCCAGUUCUGGUACUGUACCAUGGUGAAUGGUAUUCAGUCGGUCUGACAGAGUAGAUUCAAGGCAUAUUUUCUCUCGAUUUUCUAUGGUACCAAGCCCAAACACCUAUAGCAAAGUUGUUCUACUACAAAGGAUCUGCAACUUUGCUAUAUCGACCUAGGGCAAAUUCCUUGAAGAUCAUGAUCUGUAGAGCUCCAAAGAUGACCCAGUACCAUUGUUAGUCUGAAUUUC
rnacentral:lncRNA from 7 species